UGGGGAAUUUUGGACAAUGGGCGCAAGCCUGAUCCAGCCAUGCCGCGUGCGGGAAGAAGGCCUUCGGGUUGUAAACCGCUUUUGUCAGGGAAGAAAUCUUCUGAGUUAAUACCUCGGGGAGGAUGACGGUACCUGAAGAAUAAGCACCGGCUAACUACGUGCCAGCAGCCGCGGUAACACGUAGGGUGCAAGCGUUAAUCGGAAUACUGGGCGUAAAGCGUGCGCAGGCGGUUUUGUAAGACAGAGGUGAAAUCCCCGGGCUCAACCUGGGAACUGCCUUUGUGACUGCAAGGCUUGAGUGCGGCAGAGGGGGAUGGAAUUCCGCGUGUAGCAGUGAAAUGCGUAGAUAUGCGGAGGAACACCGAUGGCGAAGGCAAUCCCCUGGGCCUGCACUGACGCUCAUGCACGAAAGCGUGGGGAGCAAACAGGAUUAGAUACCCUGGUAGUCCACGCCCUAAACGAUGUCAACUGGUUGUUGGGAAGGUUCCUUCUCAGUAACGUAGCUAACGCGUGAAGUUGACCGCCUGGGGGAGUACGGCCGCAAGGUU
rnacentral:rRNA from 1 species